rnacentral:rRNA from 1 species
CCUACGGGAGGCAGCAGUGAGGAAUAUUGGUCAAUGGGCGCGAGCCUGAACCAGCCAAGUCGCGUGAGGGAAGACGGUCCUAUGGAUUGUAAACCUCUUUUGCCGGGGCGCAAAAGACGCCACGCGUGGCGUUCCGAGAGUACCCGAAGAAAAAGCAUCGGCUAACUCCGUGCCAGCAGCCGCGGUAAUACGGAGGAUUCGAGCGUUAUCCGGAUUUAUUGGGUUUAAAGGGUGCGCAGGCGGAAGAUCAAGUCAGCGGUAAAAUUGAGAGGCUCAACCUCUUCGAGCCGUUGAAACUGGUUUUCUUGAGUGAGCGAGAAGUAAGCGGAAUGCGUGGUGUAGCGGUGAAAUGCAUAGAUAUCACGCAGAACUCCGAUUGCGAAGGCAGCAUACCGGCGCUCAACUGACGCUCAUGCACGAAAGUGUGGGUAGCGAACAGGAUUAGAUACCCCUGUAGUC